rnacentral:rRNA from 1 species
UACGUAGGGGGCGAGCGUUGUCCGGAGUUACUGGGCGUAAAGCGCACGUAGGCGGCUUGUUAAGUCAGGGGUGAAAUCCUGGAGCUCAACUCCAGAACUGCCUUUGAUACUGGCGAGCUUGAGUUCGGGAGAGGUGAGUGGAACUGCGAGUGUAGAGGUGAAAUUCGUAGAUAUUCGCAAGAACACCAGUGGCGAAGGCGGCUCACUGGCCCAAUACUGACGCUGAGGUGCGAAAGCGUGGGGAGCAAACAGG